GCUGUAUCACUGUAGAUGUGUCUUAAAAAAGAGGAUUUUUUGUUGUUUAAGGUGGGAUUGAUCCACAUCAUUAUUCUUUGUUUGGAGUUUGUCCUGCUGCUGCUGCUUUAUUAAUGUGCUCAAGUAAACCCAUAGGAAAGUUGACAGAAGGCACCAAAGGCCUUAUUUCUUGUAUAUUUUCAGAAGGAAGCAGCAAUAACAUGAUAUAUCGUGUUCUGUAAUUUUGCAAUUUUACGGUAGAGAGUUGCUGGUUUUUGGGCGAACAAGUUGUGUUUGAUGUGACACUCGUUACACCCCUUGUGGUUGUGGGCUUCUUUAUGCCUCUUCUUCUGCUUAUAUGCAACCAUGC
rnacentral:misc_RNA from 1 species